GCUGAAGUAGCUCAGUCGGUAGAGCAACGCACUCGUAAUGCGUAGGUCGUAGGUUCGAUUCCCAUCUUCAGCACCA
rnacentral:tRNA from 1 species